rnacentral:rRNA from 1 species
CAGGCUUACACAUGCAAGUCGAACGAUGACUCUCUAGCUUGCUAGAGAAGAUUAGUGGCGGACGGGUGAGUAACAUUUAGGAAUCUGCCUAGUAGUGGGGGAUAGCUCGGGGAAACUCGAAUUAAUACCGCAUACGACCUACGGGUGAAAGGGGGCGCAAGCUCUUGCUAUUAGAUGAGCCUAAAUCAGAUUAGCUAGUUGGUGGGGUAAAGGCCUACCAAGGCGACGAUCUGUAACUGGUCUGAGAGGAUGAUCAGUCACACCGGAACUGAGACACGGUCCGGACUCCUACGGGAGGCAGCAGUGGGGAAUAUUGGACAAUGGGGGCAACCCUGAUCCAGCCAUGCCGCGUGUGUGAAGAAGGCCUUUUGGUUGUAAAGCACUUUAAGCAGGGAGGAGAGGCUAAUGGUUAAUACCCAUUAGAUUAGACGUUACCUGCAGAAUAAGCACCGGCUAACUCUGUGCCAGCAGCCGCGGUAAUACAGAGGGUGCGAGCGUUAAUCGGAAUUACUGGGCGUAAAGCGAGUGUAGGUGGCUCAUUAAGUCACAUGUGAAAUCCCCGGGCUUAACCUGGGAACUGCAUGUGAUAAUGGUGGUGCUAGAAUAUGUGAGAGG